GUAGGUGGCAAGCGUUAUCCGGGAAUUAUUGGGCGUAAAGCGCGCGCAGGCGGUUUCUUAAGUCUGAUGUGAAAGCCCACGGGCUCAACCGUGGAGGGUCAUUGGAAACUGGGGAACUUGAGUGCAGAAGAGAAAAGCGGAAUUCCACGUGUAGCGGUGAAAUGCGUAGAGAUGUGGAGGAACACCAGUGGCGAAGGCGGCUUUUUGGUCUGUAACUGACGCUGAGGCGCGAAAGCGUGGGGAGCAAACAGGAUUAGAUACCCUGGUAGUCCACGCCGUAAACGAUGAGUGCUAAGUGUUAGAGGGUUUCCGCCCUUUAGUGCUGCAGCUAACGCAUUAAGCACUCCGCCUGGGGAGUACGGUCGCAAAGACUG
rnacentral:rRNA from 1 species